AUACGUAGGGGGCGAGCGUUGUCCGGAAUUACUGGGCGUAAAGGGUGCGUAGGCGGCCAUGCAAGUCAGAUGUGAAAGACUCCGGCUUAACCGGGGGCGUGCAUAUGAAACUGCGUGGCUUGAGUGCGGGAGAGGCAAGCGAAAUUCCUAGUGUAGCGGUGAAAUGCAUAGAUAUUAGGAGGAACACCAGUGGCGAAGGCGGCUUGCUGGACCGCAACUGACGCUGAGGCACGAAAGCGUGGGGAGCAAACAGGAUUAGAUACCCUGGUAGUCCACGCGGUAAACGAUGGAUACUAGGUGUAGGAGGUAUCGACCCCUUCUGUGCCGGAGCAAACGCAAUAAGUAUCCCGCCUGGGGAGUACGGCCGCAAGGUUGAA
rnacentral:rRNA from 1 species